rnacentral:rRNA from 1 species
UACGGAGGGUGCAAGCGUUAUCCGGAUUCACUGGGUUUAAAGGGUGCGUAGGUGGCAUGGUAAGUCGGAUGUGAAAUCCCGGGGCUUAACCCCGGAACUGCAUUCGAUACUGCUGAGCUAGAGUACUGGAGAGGAGAUUGGAAUUUACGGUGUAGCAGUGAAAUGCGUAGAUAUCGUAAGGAAGACCAGUGGCGAAGGCGGAUCUCUGGACAGUUACUGACACUGAGGCACGAAGGCCAGGGGAGCAAACGGG